UACGGAGGGUGCAAGCGUUAUCCGGAUUCACUGGGUUUAAAGGGUGCGUAGGUGGGCAGGUAAGUCAGUGGUGAAAUCUCCGGGCUUAACCCGGAAACUGCCAUUGAUACUAUCAGUCUUGAAUACCGUGGAGGUAGGCGGAAUAUGUCAUGUAGCGGUGAAAUGCUUAGAUAUGACAUAGAACACCAAUUGCGAAGGCAGCUGGCUACACAUAUAUUGACACUGAGGCACGAAAGCGUGGGGAUCAAACAGG
rnacentral:rRNA from 1 species